AUUGAACGCUGGCGGCAUGCUUUACACAUGCAAGUCGAACGGUAGAGGGGGCAACCCCUUGAGAGUGGCGAACGGGUGAGUAAUGCAUCGGAACGUGCCCAGUCGUGGGGGAUAACGCAACGAAAGCUGUGCUAAUACCGCAUACGAUCUCUGGAUGAAAGCGGGGGACCGAAAGGCCUCGCGCGAUUGGAGCGGCCGAUGUCAGAUUAGGUAGUUGGUGGGGUAAAGGCUCACCAAGCCAACGAUCUGUAGCUGGUCUGAGAGGACGACCAGCCACACUGGGACUGAGACACGGCCCAGACUCUUACGGGAGGCAGCAGUGGGGAAUUUUGGACAAUGGGCGCAAGCCUGAUCCAGCAAUGCCGCGUGCAGGAAGAAGGCCUUCGGGUUGUAAACUGCUUUUGUACGGAACGAAAAGGUCUGGGUUAAUACCCUGGGCACAUGACGGUACCGUAAGAAUAAGCACCGGCUAACUACGUGCCAGCCGCCGCGGUAA
rnacentral:rRNA from 1 species